CAAAAUCAUGCAAGAAUACUUUGAGCUUUGCAUUGAUAUAAGGAACAAGGAGUAUGUGCCUAAUAACAAAAUUACCUGAGUUAACCUGAGUCAACCAAGUCAACCAAGUUAACCAAGCCCUAGAGCAAUAAAACAGAUCAGAAUAUUCAAGCUGAUGAAGUAUGCGACGCAUUGAUAGCAACUGACUUGGUCAGGCGUCCGAAGGAGGUGCAUUCUGUGCUAGCACAAGCAGUUCUCUGCAAGAUAAUUGUCGUGCACCUCUGAACGAGGUCCGAGAAGAAACGAGACCGACGAACGAGAAAGCCGCCUGGAAGACGACCAUUGCAGCUCCAAUGGAUUACUGAAACAAAUUACAUCAGAAGUCUGAACAUGCCCGCCCGGAACACCUAGAGUGAGGACAACGUUGGUCUGGGCUGCAGUUUCCUUAAAACCGAACGGCGUCGAUCAUUGCACCAGAUCGCCAGAUUCCAGCAGCACUUCGCGAUGCUUUAAGAGCAAUCCGUUCUUAUCAUCAGUCUAAGAGCCGCACACG